AGACUCUGAAGGUGAAAAUACCUGAGCAUUCACUCCAAAAAUCCUAGCAGUUGUGCUUAGCACCAAAAAAGAAAAGUCAUAAAUAGCUGCUGCAUGAAAUUGGAAUCUCUAACGACUAUAAGGUGAAAGAAGGACAUUGGGUUUAUAUCUCAUCCAAAGUACCACACUUCCAGAAGCAUAGAUUCUGGUAGCACCAUGCUAAGAAGUGGAUUAAGUACUGACUCAAAGGGAAGAGUGACACCUAUUGAAUAACUAACUGCCUCAAGGAGUGGGCAGAAUUAUACAUUAUCCAAGAACCUGCAAUAGCCUAGGGUUAUAAGUGUGAAUUAUUUUUCUCUUGAAUGAAUGGCACGCAACCUU